UACAGAGGUCUCAAGCGUUUGUUCGGAUUCAUUGGGCGUAAAGGGUGCGUAGGCGGCGCGGUAAGUCGGGUGUGAAAUUCAUGGCUUAACUCGAAACUGCAUUCGAUACUGCCGUGCUUGAGGACUGGAGAGGAGACUGGAAUUUACGGUGUAGCGGUGAAAUGCGUAGAUAUCGUAAGGAAGACCAGUGGCGAAGGCGGGCUCC
rnacentral:rRNA from 1 species